rnacentral:tRNA from 1 species
GGAGGGGUGGCAGAGCGGUUGAUUGCGACGGUCUUGAAAACCGUUAGAGCGAGAGCUCUCGGGGGUUCGAAUCCCUCCCCCUCCG